GACGAACGCUGGCGGCGUGCCUAACACAUGCAAGUCGAGCGAUGAAGUUUCCUUCGGGAAACGGAUUAGCAGCGGACGGGUGAGUAACACGUGGGUAACCUGCCUCAUAGAGUGGAAUAGCCUCCCGAAAGGGAGAUUAAUACCGCAUAAUAUUACAGUUUCGCAUGAAACAGUAAUUAAAGGAGUAAUCCGCUAUGAGAUGGACCCGCGGCGCAUUAGGUAGUGGGUGCGGGAGCGGCGCACCAAGGCGACGAUGCGUAGCCGACCUGAGAGGGUGAUCGGCCACAUGGGGACUGAGACACGGCCCAGACUCCUACGGGAGGCAGCAGUGGGGAAUAUUGCACAAUGGGGGAAACCCUGAUGCAGCAACGCCGCGUGAGUGAUGACGGUCUUCGGAUUGUAAAGCUCUGUCUUGGGGGACGAUAAUGACGGUACCCAAGGAGGAAGCCACGGCUAACUACGUGCCAGCCGCCGCCGUAAAAC
rnacentral:rRNA from 1 species